AAUCAUUCACGGACAACACUUU
rnacentral:ncRNA from 7 species